rnacentral:rRNA from 1 species
GACGAACGCUGGCGGCGUGCUUAACACAUGCAAGUCGAACGGAAAGGCCCUGCUUUUGUGGGGUGCUCGAGUGGCGAACGGGUGAGUAACACGUGAGUAACCUGCCCUUGACUUUGGGAUAACUUCAGGAAACUGGGGCUAAUACCGGAUAGGAGCUCCUGCUGCAUGGUGGGGGUUGGAAAGUUUCGGCGGUUGGGGAUGGACUCGCGGCUUAUCAGCUUGUUGGUGGGGUAGUGGCUUACCAAGGCUUUGACGGGUAGCCGGCCUGAGAGGGUGACCGGCCACAUUGGGACUGCGAUACGGCCCAGACUCCUACGGGAGGCAGAAGUGGGGAAUAUGGCACAAUGGGCGGAAGUCUGAUGCAGCAAUGCCGCGAGCGAAAUGACGGCCUUUGGGUUGUAAACCGCUUUCGCCGGUGACGAAGCGUGAGUGACGGUAAUGGGUAAAGAAGCACCGGCUAACUACGUG